rnacentral:rRNA from 1 species
UGCAGCGACGCCGCGUGAGGGAUGAAGGCCUUCGGGUUGUAAACCUCUUUCAGCAGGGACGAAGCGAAAGUGACGGUACCUGCAGAAGAAGCACCGGCUAACUACGUGCCAGCAGCCGCGGUAAUACGUAGGGUGCGAGCGUUGUCCGGAAUUACUGGGCGUAAAGAGUUCGUAGGCGGUUUGUCACGUCGUCUGUGAAAACCCAUCGCUCAACGAUGGGCCUGCAGGCGAUACGGGCAGACUUGAGUACUGCAGGGGAGACUGGAAUUCCUGGUGUAGCGGUGAAAUGCGCAGAUAUCAGGAGGAACACCGGUGGCGAAGGCGGGUCUCUGGGCAGUAACUGACGCUGAGGAACGAAAGCGUGGGUAGCAAACAGGAUUAGAUACCCUGGUAGUCCACGCCGUAAACGGUGGGCGCUAGGUGUGGGUUCCUUCCACGGGAUCUGUGCCGUAGCUAACGCAUUAAGCGCCCCGCCUGGGGAGUACGGCCGCAAGGCUAAAACUCAAAGGAAUUGACGGGGGCCCGCACAAGCGGCGGAGCAUGUGGAUUAAUUCGAUGCAACGCGAAGAACCUUACCUGGGUUUGACAUAUACUGGAAAGCUGCAGAGAUGUAGCCCCCCUUGUGGCC